rnacentral:rRNA from 1 species
GACGAACCGUGCGAACGUUGUUCGGAUUCACUGGGCUUAAAGGGCGCGUAGGCGGGCGAGCGAGUCCGGGGUGAAAUCUUUCGGCUUAACCGGAAAAGGGCCUCGGAUACCGGUCGUCUCGAGGGAGGUAGGGGCAGCUGGAACUUCCGGUGGGGCGGUGAAAUGCGUUGAUAUCGGAAGGAACGCCGGUGGCGAAAGCGAGCUGCUGGACCUCAUCUGACGCUGAGGCGCGAAAGCCAGGGGAGCGAACGGG